GACGAACCGUGCGAACGUUGUUCGGAAUCACUGGGUUUAAAGGGCGCGUAGGCGGGCGAUCAAGUCAGAGGUGAAAUCCCACGGCUCAACCGUGGAAGUGCCCCUGAUACUGAUUGUCUCGAGGGAGGUAGGGGCGUGCGGAACUUCCGGUGGAGCGGUGAAAUGCGUAGAUAUCGGAAGGAACACCGAUGGCGAAAGCAGCGCGCUGGACCUUUACUGACGCUGAGGCGCGAAAGCCAGGGGAGCAAACGGG
rnacentral:rRNA from 1 species